CCUCUUCCGUAAGAUAAAAAUAUAAAAAGUAUAUAUAAAUCGUAUGUGUUUUUAUUUAUCAAUUAAAAUGAUCGAUGUAUCUCUGAUUAUUUUCACUUUUGUUAAUUGUAGACAGUACAUACUUUUCUAAAUACUUUCAUUAUAUCUCAAUGUACAUUGAUGCAAAAAAUAAUAGCAGGUUCACUGCGCGAAACGAAUCUGUGAGUGAAAGAUUUAUUAAUAAUUUUUUAAUCCACGCUUUUAGAUUCCCUUUUUCUUUUUUUUGUUCAUCAUCUAGUCCGAACUUUAAUGUGGAAAAAAAAAUUAAAUACUCUUCGAGUUUAAUGAUCUCUGGAAUAAAACUAGAACUCGAGCACGUAAUAUAUAAGCAGAAUGUUUUCCGCUAUUCGGACAUACUAAAGUUGUAAGGUAGAGGUGGUUUUGUGUCCUGGAUCAUAAGUAGGAGUUUAUGAAAAAAGACAACGAGCUACGAUGAAAAAUAAUGAGAACAGGCGCUAGCUAAAGGGA